UUUGGCAGUGGUAUAACUCUGGCAAAGUUUAUUGAAGUUACUCCACAGAGGGACUAGGUGCUGUUUGUCUCUUGAUGCCCCUACUUUCCACUCUGAUUGAAAGCUUCAUGGACUAUCAUCGCCAUCAGCAGCUGUGGGAGCAGGAGAAUUAGAAACAAGCUCUUUACGGAGGCUACCUGUGUCCUGCUGGGAGACCAGAGCAACUUCGAGGUGGAGGAGAGAAGCCUACUAGCUGUGCCUGGGAACUGCUCCUUGCCUUAGCCCCCACUUGUGUCCUCUAUGGGUCACUGCGGAGGUGAAGCCGAGACUUGUGGCUUCGUACUGAAGGAUGCAGGUGCCAAAUAUCAGCAAUACGUCUUCAUUGUAUGGGCCAAACAACAUUCCUGCUUCGUCAGCCUUCUGUAGGAUGGCACAGGGAUAAUACACAAUUGUUCCAGGUUCAGCCAACUGUGAUGCCUCAAGACAUAAAGCAUAUUCCCCUAAAGUAAUUUUGUUCUUUAUCCUUAAAGAACACAGCCAAACCCUCAAAACUACACAUUAACUUUAGUAGGACAACUGUAUUGCUAAUGCUUAACAGAUGCGAUUGAACCUUUUCUGUUAAAAUCCUCAGUUCCAGAAAUUUCCCUUGUUCUGACACUUUAAGAAGGUGAAAUUGUCCUUGAAAGGACAAAGUUCUUCCUUCCAGACUUGACAUAUUUUUCUAGAACCCUCCUACAUUGUACUUUGGUAUUUCAGUGUUGUGAAGUAUAGUAUCAGCUCAGUUCUGCAAAACUAUUGAGUUAUUGUACUGGUUAAUAAAGUGAAAUUUAUACAAGCUUAAUCA
rnacentral:lncRNA from 1 species